AUACUCUGGUUUCUCUUCAGAUCGUAUAAAUCUUUCGCCUUUUACUAAAGAUUUCCGUGGAGGAAAACUGUCCAGAGCCACAUUUGAAAGGUAACUAUGGGCUAACCA
rnacentral:snRNA from 1 species